UCCAGCCCAAGGCUCUCUAUGAAGACGAGGAAAAACUCCCCCAGAGGCCAGACUGAUGAGGAAGAAACCUCGGGAAAGGCAAUUCAAAGAGAGAUCCCCCUUUGCAGGGACGGCCGGUGGGAUCACACACUGAAAAAAAAAGUGUCCACCAGUUACACUGUAUUUCUGCUGUGCAACCAACUUGGAAGUUCUGGGUCAACCUGUGUUAUCCAUGCAUGUGGAAAUGUAAAGAAUAUGAUCUUCUUCAUAUUCAAGAAGAUCUGAACUUCUAAAACAUUACAAACUUGAUCAUCUCAGAGCACCAUGGCAGACAUGGCACCUGUUUGAUUGCUGAUCGUUUUAAGUGAAGACAACAGUGUGGAGCUGCACAAAGGGAUUCCAAACUCAUUGGAAGAGCUUAUUGAUGAGGUUAAGAAUGCAUGUGGAUUAGAGGGACACAUAAGGCUGCAGUAUAAGGACACCGAUUUUGGAAACAUAUUUGUGAAUCUGACCUCUACAUCUGUGAUUAGGGAUCUUACAAUUCUCAAAGUUGUUCAGUUAGACCCUGAUACCACAACUGUAAGUGGCCUGGACAGUGAUGACUCCUCCGU